CCUACGGGAGGCUGCAGUGGGGAAUAUUGGGCAAUGGGCGCAAGCCUGACCCAGCAACGCCGCGUGAAGGAAGAAGGCUUUCGGGUUGUAAACUUCUUUUAAGAGGGAAGAGCAGAAGACGGUACCUCUUGAAUAAGCCACGGCUAACUACGUGCCAGCAGCCGCGGUAAUACGUAGGUGGCAAGCGUUGUCCGGAUUUACUGGGUGUAAAGGGCGUGCAGCCGGGAAGACAAGUCAGAUGUGAAAGCCCGCGGCUCAACCGCGGAACUGCAUUUGAAACUGUUUUUCUUGAGUACCGGAGAGGUCAUCGGAAUUCCUUGUGUAGCGGUGAAAUGCGUAGAUAUAAGGAAGAACACCAGUGGCGAAGGCGGAUGACUGGACGGCAACUGACGGUGAGGCGCGAAAGCGUGGGGAGCAAACAGGAUUAGAUACCCCUGUAGUC
rnacentral:rRNA from 1 species